AGCCUACUCCUACUAAUAAAAGUGGUUCAGCUUGAUUGAUACGGAGCGGAAUAGAAUCUAGUGCCACCAACAUAUUGUUUGUAUAAGAUAUGGUGGUUUAAUGGCGUUUAGCGGAAAGUGGAACAAAAAUAAACUUUAACGGCUUAAAUCUGAGAAGCCAAGAGUAUGCAAUUCAUAUUGACGGAUAUUUCUAUAUGGAUACAAGACAUUUGAUUUGCUGACUGCAGAAGACAAAGGAACUACUAAAAUUAAUAAGCAUGUUUUAGCAAAUCACGGUUUAAUAGCGGUUAAUGGAAAGGGAAAGUAAGGAUAACGUCAAUUGUCUUAUAUUGAAUACCGUGGAAAAAG